GCUCAAUUGGCAGAGCGUCGGUCUCCAAAACCGAAGGCUGUGGGUUCGAUCCCCUCCACUCCUG
rnacentral:tRNA from 1 species